UAAGGAGUUGAGUGCGGUAGGUCAUUACCGAGUGAGGGCCCUCUGGGUCCAACCUCCCACCCGUGUUUAUUUUACCUUGUUGCUUCGGCGGGCCCGCCUUUACUGGCCGCCGGGGGGCUCACGCUCCCGGGCCCGCGCCCGCCGAAGACACCCCCGAACUCUGUCUGAAGAUUGCAGUCUGAGUGAAAACGAAAUUAUUUAAAACUUUCAACAACGGAUCUCUUGGUUCCGGCAUCGAUGAAGAACGCAGCGAAAUGCGAUACGUAAUGUGAAUUGCAAAUUCAGUGAAUCAUCGAGUCUUUGAACGCACAUUGCGCCCCCUGGUAUUCCGGGGGGCAUGCCUGUCCGAGCGUCAUUGCUGCCCUCAAGCCCGGCUUGUGUGUUGGGCCCCGUCCCCCGAUCCCGGGGGACGGGCCCGAAAGGCAGCGGCGGCACCGCGUCCGGUCCUCGAGCGUAUGGGGCUUUGUCACCCGCUCCGUAGGCCCGGCCGGCGCCUGCCGAUCAACCCCAAAUUUUUAAUCCAGGUUGACCUCGGAUCAGGUAGGGAUACCCGCUGAACUUAAGCAUAUCAA
rnacentral:rRNA from 1 species